GAUAAAAUUGUUCUGUCUGAGUAGGCAGUCUGGCACUUUGUGAAAUUGUAAAUGAUUAAGGAUUAAAGUUGGCAUUUGAUCUUGUAGAAUCAAUUAAAGACAGAGAGGCCCUUUUAACAACUUUGCUGAACCAAUCACAAGACUAGAAGUCUCACAAUCAAUUCUAAGACUGCAGCCAAGAAGGAAGUUCCUUCAAGACAUUAGGGCUGGGCCUGUGAAGAGAGCAAGAAGAAUGUUCUUCAUGUUUUGUUAGCCAAGCAGAAAACCCAAAGAGAAAAGAACAAUAAAGACUGAAAAUGACUGGAAAGAUGCAGAGUUUUGCUGUACUCUAGCAAUAAGUCAGAAGUGACCACUCAGGGGUCUGCUGGUCAAGUUCCCCCCGCACCCCUCCCUGCACCUUACCACAAGUCACAGUCAUCUGGAAAGAGAGGACUUCAAUUGAGAAAAUGCCUCCAUAAGAUUGAUGUAUAGCGCUGGAGAAUUGACUCAGCAAUUGAGAGCAUUUGUUGCUCCUUCAGAGGGCCCAGUGGUGAGCUGCAUUUCCUGAGUGUCAGCAGACUGCCCAGCAGGAAUUCCAGCCUGAUGGAGAAUCAGCCAAAGGAAGUCCUCACUGAGAGACACAGUGGUAUCAUUCACUGAGUGGAAACAGUGAAAGAAUAACAUAUUUCUAAAGGGAAUUUACAUUAUUAAUACUGUGCUUUUGUAGCAACUUACAGAAAUACACUUUCAUCUUUCGUGGUGGAAGGAAUAAGUAAUUUUCCUCAAAACCCUAGCUUUGUCUCUAAAGCUUUUUCUGUUUUACUCUGCUAUCCCAUCUUUGAGAUGCUAUUCAUAACUGCAUCACUGUCUUCCUAAACAUAAAACAAAAUAACUAAGUCUUCACCUGAGCGACUGUGAUGCCACAUGUUCUAGCAGUAGCUCUGGGGGGGUUGGGGGGGGGAAGAGAUCUUUCCAGUCCUUCGCAUGACUUUUAGUCAGCUGGAGCAGGUCACUUCUCAUAGCAAUAAACAUCUGGAAAUCCUGCUCAACCUACAGUGAAGUCUUUAAAAUUUUCAAAUAAACACUUAACAUUUUAAAUAGACACAAAGGAUCUACAGAAAAUAGCUCUAGAAACUAUGAAUUAGAAUUUUUCUGUAAAAAAUAGUGAAAUAUGAGGCUAGAGAUGGUUCAGUGGUUAAAAGUCCUGGCUGCUUUUUUAGAGGACCCAAGUUCAGUCCCCAGGACCAAUAUGGCAGCUCACAACCAUCUCUAAUUCCAGUUCCAGAGGACAUAAUGGCCUCCAAGGGCAGUAGGCACAUAUGCGGUACAUAGAUAUAUAUGAAGGCAACUCCCAUACCAAAAAAAAAUUCCUGAAAAACAAACUUUUUUUUUUAAAAAAGAUUUAUUUAUUAUAUGUAAGUACACUGUAGCUGUCCUCAGACACUCCAGAAGAGGGCAUCAGAUUUCGUUACGGAUGGUUGGGAGCCACCAUGUGGUUGCUGGGAUUUGAACUCCGGACCUUCGGAAGAGCAGUCUUACCCACUGAGCCAUCUCAGCAGCCCCAUCCGUAAUGAGAUCUGACGCCCUCUUCUGGGAUGUCUGAAGAUAGCUACAGUGUACUUACAUAUAAUAAAUAAAUAAAUCUAUAAAAAAAAAGAAUUGAGUCGGAAUUAAAAAAUAAACCAACGUUUUACAGGCUA